rnacentral:ncRNA from 1 species
CAAAAGCUUGGUCCUGACUUUGCUAUCAGCUCCGACUAGACUUACACAUGCAAGUAUCCGCAGACCCGUGAGAAUGCCCUAUAGUUCCCCGCCCGGGAAUAAGGAGCUGAUAUCAGGCACAAGAUCUUAGCCCACGACAUCUCGCUUAGCCACACCCUCAAGGGAAUUCAGCAGUGAUAGACAUUAAGCCAUAAGUGAAAACUUGACUUAGUCAAUGUUAAAAGGGCCGGUUAAUUUCGUGCCAGCCACCGCGGUUAUACGAAAGACCCAAGUUGAUAGCUCCCGGCGUAAAGUGUGGUUAGGAGACCCUUGAAACUAAAGCCGAAUGACUCCAAAGCUGUUAUACGCACAUGGAGACAAGAAGCCCAGUCACGAAAGUAGCUUUACUCUACCUGAACCCACGAAAGCUAAGACACAAACUGGGAUUAGAUACCCCACUAUGCUUAGCCGUAAACAUUGAUAAUGAGUUACGCACAUUAUCCGCCUGGGGACUACGAGCAUCAGCUUAAAACCCAAAGGACUUGGCGGUGCUUUAGACCCACCUAGAGGAGCCUGUUCUAGAACCGAUAAUCCUCGUUAAACCUCACCUUUUCUUGUUCCCCCCGCCUAUAUACCGCCGUCGUCAGCCUACCCUAUGAAGGCCCCAAAGUAGGCAAAAUUGGCACAGCCCAAAACGUCAGGUCGAGGUGUAGCGAAUGAAAAGGGAAGAAAUGGGCUACAUUCAUUAUGUUAAUAAUGCACACGGAUGGUAACCUGAAACAAUUACCUGAAGGAGGAUUUAGCAGUAAGCAGGAAAUAGAGUGUCCUACUGAAACUGGCCCUGAAGCGCGCACACACCGCCCGUCACUCUCCCCGAAAUAUCAUAUCAUCAUACUUAAUAAGUUAAACCUCAAAAGGGGAGGCAAGUCGUAACAUGGUAAGUGUACCGGAAGGUGCACUUGGACAAAC